GAUGAAGAACGCAGCGAAAUGCGAUAAGUAAUGUGAAUUGCAGAAUUCAGUGAAUCAUCGAAUCUUUGAACGCACAUUGCGCCCCUUGGUAUUCCGAGGGGCAUGCCUAUUCGAGCGUCAUUAUCACCCCUCAAGCCUAGCUUGGUGUUGGGGCUUGCUGUAAAGGCAGCCUCUAAAAUCAGUGGCAGUGCUGUCAGGCUCUAAGCGUAGUAAAUUCAUCGCUAUAGGGUCCUGGUGGAUACUCGUCAACACCCCCCAUUUUUAAUGAUUGACCUCGGAUUAGGUAGGGAUACCCGCUGAACUUAAGCAUAUCAAUAAGCGGAGGA
rnacentral:misc_RNA from 1 species